GGUGGCUCAAUGGUAGAGUGCUUGCUUUGCAUGCAUGAGUCCCUGGGUUCAAUUCCUCAGCACCA
rnacentral:tRNA from 1 species